GACGAACCGUGCGAACGUUGUUCGGAAUCACUGGGCUUAAAGGGCGCGUAGGCGGCUUGUCAAGUCAGGGGUGAAAUCCGGCAGCUUAACUGUCGAAGUGCCUCUGAUACUGACGAGCUCGAGGGAGGUAGGGGUCUGUGGAACUUCUGGUGGAGCGGUGAAAUGCGUUGAUAUCAGAAGGAACGCCGGUGGCGAAAGCGACGGACUGGACCUCUUCUGACGCUGAGGCGCGAAAGCUAGGGGAGCAAACGGG
rnacentral:rRNA from 1 species